rnacentral:rRNA from 1 species
UACGAAGGGGGCUAGCGUUGUUCGGAAUCACUGGGCGUAAAGGGCGCGUAGGCGGCCGUUCAAGUCGGGGGUGAAAGCCUGUGGCUCAACCACAGAAUUGCCUUCGAUACUGGACGGCUCGAGACCGGAAGAGGUCAGUGGAACUGCGAGUGUAGAGGUGAAAUUCGUAGAUAUUCGCAAGAACACCAGUGGCGAAGGCGGCUGACUGGUCCGGUUCUGGCGCUGAGGCGCGAAAGCGUGGGGAGCAAACAGG